rnacentral:lncRNA from 10 species
CUAUUGAUCUUUUUCUUUAGCAACUCCAUCUUUAAUGUGCAAUAACUCUGGUUUGCUCUUGAAGAGUGGGUGUAAGAGCCUUCUAAUCAGAGAGCAUAGCAUGUUCAAAGGCUCUAGAAUAGGAGAGAGGAUGGUGUGUUCUAGGCACUGAAAGGAGGCUUUUUGGAUAAGUGUUUUCAUGGUGGGAAAUGAGCUGGAACUUGAAUGAUAGGUAAGAAUUUUAGUGAUGAGAAAAAGUAAAUGGGCAUGAACAAUGAACUACGUGUUAGUCCUUUUAGUGUUGUUAUAAAGAAAUACCUGAGGCUGGGUAACUGUGACCUGGGCAUUUGAUCUCUAGUCUAUGGUUGGGCUCCAGAUGUGAAAAGCCUCCUCAAUUCCCACCUCAGUCCCAUUCAGAGCUGAGAAUUGCUUUUUCCUUUACAUCUUAGUUCAUUUGUAAGAGGUGCAUGCUCAUUUUCAGCCAGAUUCGUGGGCCCCCCAAGGUCUGUGAGACUGUGGCUUCAUUAAUGCCAAAGAGACCCUUGGAGACAGUUGGGGUGAAUAAAAGGGUUGAAGCUAGAAGGAUUUAGGGAGAGAACUAAAGUAAGAGCCAGAGAAAGAAGAUCUAGUUAAAAUUCCAUGGGGGCUGGAAUCUUGGAAUGUUAGCAUCCUAAGGACCUGAAACAGCAUCUUAGGCUCUCAUCUUAUAGAUGUGUAAACUGAGGCUCAAAAGAAGGCAGGGACUAGUCCAAAUUUAUAUGGGGCUGAGCUGCAGAACACUUCCAGAAAAGCCCUUACUCAAAUUUAUAAUAUUGUUGCUUUAAUAUAGUGAAAAGAGCACCAGGAGGAAGAGGAGGCAGGAAGAGGUAGUGUGCUGAGUUUGGUUCCCAAUUUUUCACCUAGUAGCUGUGUGACCUUAGGCAAGCU